rnacentral:rRNA from 1 species
GACGAACGCUGGCGGCGUGCUUAACACAUGCAAGUCGAACGGAGUGUCGAACGGGUGAGUAACACGUGGGUGACCUGCCCUGCACUUCGGGAUAAGCCUGGGAAACUGGGUCUAAUACCGGAUAGUGUGGGAUGGGACCGCGGCCUAUCAGCGUGUUGGUGGGGUAAUGGCCUACCAAGGCGGCGACGGGUAGCCGGCCUGAGAGGGUGGACGUCCACAUUGGGACUGAGAGACGGCCCAGACUCCAACGGUCGGCAGCAGUGGGGAAUAUUGCACAAUGGGCGGCAGUCUGAUGCAGCGACGCCGCGUGGGGGAUGACGUCCUUCGGGUUGUAAACUCCUUUCACCUUCUACGCGGUAGAUGGAGAAGAAGCACCGGCUAACUACGUGCCAGCAGCCGCGGUAAUUC